rnacentral:lncRNA from 1 species
GAAAGAAAGGAAUACCCGAUGAUGGAAGUAGCUCUUAUGGCUGGAGAUUGCAGGUUUAUGACUGAUCCUAUUUGGGAAGAACAAUGAUGGCAGGCAUUCGAGCUUUAUUUAUGUACUUGUGGCUGCAGCUGGACUGGGUGAGCAGAGGAGAGAGUGUGGGGCUGCAUCUUCCUACCCUGAGUGUCCAGGAGGGUGACAACUCUAUUAUCAACUGUGCUUAUUCAAACAGCGCCUCAGACUACUUCAUUUGGUACAAGCAAGAAUCUGGAAAAGCUACUCAACCUGGAGACUCAGCUGUCUACUUUUGUGCAGAGAAUACACAUUGCUUUCCAGGCAUCUGUAACCAUCACCCAAACCUGAGAUGGGAGGUGAAG